UCCUGCCAAUGCAGGUCUCGAUCGAUCGGAGUGUCGCCGGCGCCAGCGAUCAGAGAUCGCGGAGCGCUGGAGGAGGUCGCGGAGCGCAGGAGGAGAUCGGGAGGAGAUCGCUGAGCGCCGAGCGCUGGAGGUGUGAUAUUUCGCCACUGCGGAGCAAUCUGGGAAGGAUCGCCAUGGCUUGUUGGUUAGGGUCGUGGUUCUUGGAAUUCCCGGCGGCACGGUCGUCCGGAACGCUUUCUUCCAGCGCCAGCAGCAGCAGCCUGGUCAGGAUCGAAUGGAAGUCGACGAAUGUAUUGCCCGAGGUAGGUACUGUGAUCACAGGCGGUGGAACGUAUUUGUCUUGCAGGAGCUCAUAACGCUGUCUCACCGCUCACUCGCGGCUCACUCGCGGUCCCUGUCUGGAAACUCACGCUGGCUGCCGAGUUUAGCGUCUCGUUCGUGCUUCUGUGCCGUGCUAUGGCGUGGGAGAAAGCCACCACGUCACGGAGCUUGGAGCCGGAAGAAGUGAGAAGUUGAUGUGGAUUACGAUCGCGAGGGUACUUUUUUCACAGGCAAGGUGGUAUAGUGUUGUCCGAUUCGCUUGCCCUGGAAACCUGUACUGGAAGAUUUAACCAUGCAGAGGGGGAGGCAUGGAAACACUGCCCCUUUAUCCCCUACGAGAGCGCGCUCUUCGCCGAGCUGUUGAAGCACCUGAACGCAGCUGGCUUAAUGCGUGGUUGUGGACUGGCAUUUCUUACGCGAAUGACGUUGCAGCUGGGACUCCAAGACGUCUAGGCAGUCCGAAUGCUUGGUCACAUCGUGUUCUCUUACUUUGAUCGGAGUGUUGCUGCUCAACAGAAACUUGCACAAGCGCUCCUCUUGGAAUGCCACCUUCAAACGGAGUCAUCCUGCAGUCUCGAAGAGCCUAGCAACGAUGAAACACCAGAUUAACUGUAAAGGCGGCAAAGUCAGUCACCAAUAACAACGAAAGCUGGGGCAGCAUUACGGUAACUUACAAUCAGCGUACAAGGAGAUUGGAAUCGCCACUUCGGUUUCAGCCAGCAUCAUCUCGGGUACAUGGCCUUUCCAAACUGAAAAACGCUGAGAAUGACAUACAAUUCCAGGUAGCAAGUAUGGACAUUCUUUACAGGAUCAAAAACACUGGUGUCAAAUUUGCCGAAGUGUAUCGAGGCUGCGUCGGUGCCAUGCCAGUCAUCAAGGGAAUUAGAGAAGCUUCUGUUUGCCGGCAGUUCGCUCUUUAGCCGAAGAUUCAAGGUUCUGGAGGACGUGCAUGCCGCACUCUUCCAGUUCGUCUAUCUCCUGGCCUGUGCUCGUGCCGAGCUUUCGACUUGGCGCUCUCUCCUGGGCAGCAGACGGCAUUCUAUGGAAGUAGUCCCACGCGCGCUGGACUGGGUGAAGGCGCGGAUCCUUGUGUCAAGGACACUGUGUUCUUCCACUCCAUCGGCUCAACUUCUUAGGCGUAUCAUGGUGUUUUCAGAAAAGAGAUCCUCUCUCAAAUAACGAAGGACCGGCUCGACAGUAUGCUGAUAUCAAA